rnacentral:rRNA from 1 species
UGUUCUUUGGUUUAUUAUAAAGAAUAAGGUCUGCCCUAUGAUUUAUUAAAUGGCCGCAGUAUUUUGACUGUGCGAAGGUAGCAUAAUCAAUUGUCUCUUAAUUAGGGUCUAGAAUGAAUGAUUUAAUGAAAGGCAAGCUGUUUUUAUCAAGUUUAUGAAUUUUAAUGUUAGGUGAAGAUGCUUAAAUGUUUUUAAAAGACGAGAAGACCCCAUCAAGUUUUACAUUUUUCUUAUAUUAGUGUAGUGGUAUAUUGAUUGAAUGUUUAGUUGGGGCAACUGUAGGAUAUGAAAACUUCUAUAAUAAAGAGAUAUUUUGUGUAAAUUAUGUAUGAUCCAAGAUUUUGAUUUUUAGAAUUAAUUACUGUGGGGAUAACAGCGUAAUUUUCUUAUAGAGUUCUUAUCGAUGAGAAAGAUUGCGACCUCGAUGUUGGAUUAAGAUACCUUUUUGGUGUAGCCGUUGAAAGGGGUAGUCUGUUCGACUAUUAAAUUCUUACA